GACGAACGCUGGCGGCGUGCUUAACACAUGCAAGUCGAACGGAAAGGCCCUGCUUUUGUGGGGUGCUCGAGUGGCGAACGGGUGAGUAACACGUGAGUAACCUGCCCUUGACUUUGGGAUAACUUCAGGAAACUGGGGCUAAUACCGGAUAGGAGCUCCUGCUGCAUGGUGGGGGUUGGAAAGUUUCGGCGGUUGGGGAUGGACUCGCGGCUUAUCAGCUUGUUGGUGGGGUAGUGGCUUACCAAGGCUUUGACGGGUAGCCGGCCUGAGAAGGUGACCGGCCACAUUGGGAAUGAGAUACGGCCCAGACUCCUCCGGGAGGCAGCAGUGGGGAAUAUUGCAAAAUGGGCGGAAGCCUGAUGCAGCAACGCCGCGUGCGGGAUGACGGCCUUCGGGUUGUAAACCGCUUUCGCCUGUGACGAAGCGUGAGUGACGGUAAUGGGUAAAGAAGCACCGGCUAACUACGUG
rnacentral:rRNA from 1 species